GACGAACGCUGGCGGCGUGCUUAACACAUGCAAGUCGAACGGAAAGGCCCUGCUCUUGUGGGGUGCUCGAGUGGCGAACGGGGGAGUAACACGUGAGUAACCUGCCCUUGACUUUGGGAUAACUUCAGGAAACUGGGGCGAAUACCGGAUAGGAGCUCCUGCUGCAUGGUGGGGGUUGGAAAGUUUCGGCGGUUGGGGAUGGCCUCGCGGCUUAUCAGCUGGUUGGUGGGGUAGUGGCUUCCCAAGGCUUUGAAGGGUAGCCGGCCUGAGAGGGUGACCGGCCACCUUGGGCCUGCGAUACGGCCCAGUCUCCUACGGGCGGCAGCGGUGGGGAGUAUUGCACAAUGGGCGGAAGUCUGAUGCAGAAACGCCGCGUGCGGGAUGCCGGCCUUCGGGUUGUAAACCGCUUUCUCCUGUGCCGAAGCGUGAGUGACGGUACUGGGUAAAGAAGCACCGGCUAACUACGUG
rnacentral:rRNA from 1 species